GUCUAUGGCUAUGCCACCCUGAACAUGCCCGAUCUCUUCUGAUCUUGUAAGCUAAGCAGGGUUGAGCCUGGUUACUACUUGGAUGGGAGACCACCUACAAAUACCUAGGGUGCUGUAGGUG
ensembl:rRNA 5S_rRNA 5S ribosomal RNA